GUUCGAUGGGCUGCUCCAGAAAUACCGCCCCCCCAGCCCUCCAAUUGGCGGAAAACGCGCGGAUCCAAAACGCGCAUUGGUCUUUCCAAGUGCCAGCCGGAACUCCGGAGAAGACGGAAAAGAAAGUUGCUUGGGGCCGAGCGAAGCUGCGUUGGUGCAAAGCUAUAGCGGCCGGUGAGGGACGUUGGUGUGACGUCAUGGGCAGAGGAACGCGGAGGAGAAAGGUCUUCUUUGCCCCAUCAUGCGCCGCGCCAAUGAUUGGCUUUUGCGGAAGGAUUGCAUCUUGGGUGGUGUAGUUUUUAUUACUCUGCGCAGGUUUAGGGCGUUUAGUUAUCCUUAUGAGCCAUUGAACCCUUUGCAGCGUAAUAUUUAUUACUUCUGAAAGGUGGAAGAAGGAACCGUGGGAUCUGUAGUCCUACGCCCACUUCUUACAACAAGAAGAAAUUGAUUGAAUAAAGGUGAUUUUGGGAAAAGAGAAAAAGAAGUGUUCUGUAAGAAGCAAUUGAACUGAUAUCCAAUCAUAUACAUCAUCAUUAUAUACGGAGAAGUAAAGAAUCCUAACAGAGAAGGCAAACACCACACAAAAUGUAGAGGAGUUCAGAGCUAACAUUGAAGAAACAAUGCAAGAGCAGUUUGGUAAACAUCUACUUAGCCCUGGGAAGAAAGGGGGAUGAGAAAGUAACUCAAGAUAACCUCACUUUGAUAUUCUUUCAUAUACAUAAGAGGGGGCAGAAAGGAGCUCUGUCAGACUUCCAAGAUUAUGUUCAUAUUCCCUACAGCUAUAAAGUCUUUAUGGUGUCUAUUUCCUGACCUGUCUACCUUGAAGGACUUAGAAGAGAUGCUAGCCAAUAAUUAGGCAGAAGUGGAGGUGACCUCAUUUUUAGAUAGUCCAGCACCUGUGGUAUCAUCUAGAUCAGGGGUGUCAAACUGGAUUUCUUCGAGGGCCAGAUCAGCAUUGUAG